rnacentral:SRP_RNA from 1 species
AGACGGGUCCGGCGCGGCGGAAACCUUUGAACCGUGCCAGGUCCGAAAGGAAGCAGCACUAAGGAGGAUUUUUCGGGUGCCGCCGGGGCGCCUGUCUGAG